rnacentral:rRNA from 1 species
GACGAACGCUGGCGGCGUGCCUAAUAAAUGCAAGUCGAACGCAGUGGGGACGGGUGAGUAACACGUUGGUAACCUCCCAUCAGAGGGGAUAACACUUGGAAACAGGUGCUAAACCGAUACCGAAGGAUGGACCCGCGGUGCAUUCGGUAGUUGGUGAGGUAACGGCUCACCAAGGCCACGAUGCAUAGCCGGCCUGUGAGGGUUACCGCCCGCACUGGGACGAAGACACGGCCCAACUUCCUACGGGGGACAGCAGUAGGGAAUCUUCGGCAAUGGACGAAAGUCUGACGCAGACAAGCGGCGUGAGUGAAGAAGGUUUUCGGAUCGUAAACGCAUGUGGUUAGAGAGACGGUAUCUAACCAGAAAGCCACGGCUAACUACGUGCCAGCAGCCGCGGUAAUAC